GUCGAGAAUCUUCCGCAAUGCGCGAAAGCGUGACGGAGCGACACCGCGUGAUGGAUGAAGUCCUUCGGGGCGUAAACAUCUUUUAUAAAGGAGGAAAUUUUUGACGUUACUUUAUGAAUAAGGGGCUCCCAAUCUCGUGCCAGCAGGAGCGGUAAUACGAGAGCCUCAAGCGUUAUCCGGAAUCAUUGGGCGUAAAGGGUGGGUAGGUGGUUUGAUUAGUCUCCCGUGAAAACUUCGAGCUUAACUCGAAAAGAGCGGGGGAAACGGUCAAACUAGAGUAUGUGAGAGGUGUGUGGAACUCAUGGUGUAGGGGUGAAAUCCGUUGAUAUCAUGGGGAACACCAAAAGCGAAGGCAGCACACUGGCACAUCACUGACACUGAGGCACGAAACCAAAGGUAGCGAAUGGGAUUAGAAACCCGAGUAGUCC
rnacentral:rRNA from 1 species